GAGACACCCUUCUGGGGCAGGACUUGUUUCAGUGGGGCUUCAGUGCUCAGUGAGUCUGCCCCUUGAGUGUGUCGCU
rnacentral:pre_miRNA from 1 species